GGUUACGGCCAUACCUAGCAGAAAGCACCCCAUCUCGUCCGAUCUGGGAAGUUAAACUGCUAUGGGCGUGGUUAGUACUGCGGUGGGGGACCACGCGGGAAUACCACGUGCUGUAAUCU
rnacentral:rRNA from 15 species